UCUAUGUCUUUCUUAUAGUGUGAUGAGCCUAUAUGCGUUCAACAUUCUUCAUGUCAUAGGAACCAGUAUCAAGAAUGAUUAUUGACUUUGAUCUUCUGUCUGGCUGCAGAAUAGCUUUCUGCAUUCCUGUAACAGCUCCUGCCACUUGCAACUGGGAGUUCCAUCUGCAUGUCAUGACUGCUCACAGUCUCUCUGUUCCACUUCAAACAUCUGGGGAGGAAAUUGGAUGGAUCCAGGUUGUAGUGGGUAUCACUCAUUAUCCAGCCGGACAAGAUCAGGAGGAAGGGGGCAGCACUGCACAAAUAUGGCUGCUGCACCUCCUGCAGUUCUGGACACAGAAGAAGCCUUACUGAAUGCUUAGACCGAUCAGUCAUUCUGAUCCCUGCUGAUAAUUGCAUAGCAUCUUCACGUUGAGGUUGUAAUCCUCAUGAAGCAUUCGUCCAGAGGGCCCCCCCCCCCCUCCUUGGGUACAGUGGCAGGUAUAACACAGGAAGGGAAGAUGAAAAUGCUGAAAUGUAGCAAAGCAACUAGUUUCAUUCUCCAUCAUUACCACUUCCCAGCCUCUGAACCUUCGUCUUUUUCUUUACGGGAAUGCUGAGGAAGAGUGCCUGGCCACAUUUGCCAGAGGCUGGGAGAGUCCCUAGGUUCUGUCACCAGUGCCCCCAUCACACAUCUUCACCAUUCUUUCCUACACGACUCGUUAAACAUCCCAGCUGUGGCUGAGCUCCAUUGUGACACUUAACCAGCUCAAGUUUGCUGAACUCUUGCCUCUGUCCAGAAGCAACUGGUGGGUACUACCUGAGAUAGAGAGUGAGAGAAGUGAUUUGCAGAGAUCACGGACACAUGAGAGAGUUAUUGAGACCUGAGCAUGCUUUUCUAGGAAUAAAGGCAAUUUAAAAUUGUCAGCUAGACCAAUUUUUCCCCCAUGGGUUCCUAAAGAGCAUAAUGCUACCAAUAAUAAUAAUAACUACCAUUUAAUUGUCUUAUCUACUAUUUUGGGAGCUUGCAAGUGCUUUAAAUAUGUUGAUUUGUUUAAGACAAAAGCCAGUUUCCUCAGGAAAAUGUCUUGUUUAUGCUAAAGUCUGUGCAACAAAGCAUAGAAGGAUACAAAGGGGGUGAGAUAGGGACGACCUGCACAGCUUAGAGAUGGAGUUGCUCAGAGGUCCCUGGACCCACAUGUCCCUGAAACCUUUUAUUUUAUGGGGAUCCAGGGCCCACUAUCAACGACAUCAUAUGUAACAACUGUCUUGUUUACUUGUUUCUGUCUUGUUUACUAUUAUAUCCCUUGUACCUGAAAUA